GGGCGUAUGGUCUAGAGGCAUGAUACCCGCUUUGGGUGAUGGUUCGUUGCGCAAAUUUCAAGCUAUUCUACUGCAGAGGGUCUUCGGUUCGAAUCCGGAUUCGCCCC